GACGAACGCUGGCGGCGUGCUUAACACAUGCAAGUCGAACGGAAAGGCCCUGCUUUUGUGGGGUGCUCGAGUGGCGAACGGGUGAGUAACACGUGAGUAACCUGCCCUUGACUUUGGGAUAACUUCAGGAAACUGGGGCUAAUACCAGAUAGUAGCUCCUGCUGCAUGGUGGGGGUUGGAACGUUUCGGCGGGUGGGGAUGGACUCGCGGCUUAUCAGCUUGUUGGUGGGGUAGUGGCUUACCAAGGCUUUGACGGGUAGCCGGCCUGAGAGGGUGACCGGCGACAUUGGGACUGAGAUACGGCCCAGAGUCCUACGGGAGGCAGCAGUGGGGAAUAUUGCACAAUGGGCGGAAGCCUGAUGCAGCAACGCCGCGUGCGGGAUGACGGCCUUCGGGUUGUAAACCGCUUUCGCCUGUGACGAAGCGUGAGUGACGGUAAUGGGUAAAGAAGCACCGGCUAACUACGUG
rnacentral:rRNA from 1 species